AGUUUUCAUCGCUAGACCAAAUGUACAACCGCCUGAUGUCCUGCUCUAGGAUCCCCUCCUCAACCCAACCGAUCUUGAGUUCCCCAAGCUUCCGACCCUGCGCCCUCCGCCAGGACCCCUGCGUACAAGCCUCUCACCCCGAACGUUGAUGUUGAAGCCACAGCGAAUACAGGUGACCGUAUCCUGAGCCCCGGGCAGAGGCAGGACCGAGCCGCAAUCUGAACAGAAAUCCAGGUCCGACUGAAAGCUGGAGCAAGUAUUGGCGAGGUCCAUGACAGACAUGCGGUCGGGUCUGAGGAGGGAGUUGGAAGUUUAUUAACAAAAGAGAGAAGAGUUCCUGUCCCAGAGGUCGUAACUAUUCUGUCCCAGGACCUAGGAGUAUAUAACCCGAACCCUCCUGCCACGCACGCCUCCUGCCUCUGCGACCAAGGAGCCGAAACGCCCGGAAUUCCCAGACAGCGUCGGGUACUAAAGGACUUGGAACCCUUUCCAGGGGCCGGUGAGAGGAGUUAACCAACUCCGUGGGCUAGAGCGCCAGCUCUGCGCCCGCGGCGGGGCAGCGAGAUAGAGCCGGCUAGAGCGUCAGGCUUUCGCGUUGACGAUUGGCUGUGACGUCAUAAUUAAUUGCGAACCGUGUCUCGGGAGCGUUAGAGAUGGAGACUAACGUCUUCCAAGGGAGAUUGCGUCUCCACUUUCACCCUGGUACUGAGAGGUUGAGCACAAAAUUGGAACGCAGUCGCGGGGUAUAUCCCCCUGAAAACCGUACGUUGCCAAAUAAUGAUUUCUUUGGAUUAGAGAACUACAACUCCCCUGGGUCCUGAGCCGGUAUUUCCCUUUUGCGGCUGCACCGUAGUUAAAAACAAAGCUAAGUGUUCUGGGACGUAUAGUUCUAGCGUUCCUUGGGUCCCGCUGGCGAGCGUGGGCUUUCUGCAGCUCGCAACCGGCCUCGUGCUUUGCGGACGGUUCACUGCGCUUGGAAAGGGAUUGGCCUGGGGUACAUCAUCUAAAGAUCCUAGGAUUGCUGCAGGUCAGCAGUCUCCACUGGAAAAAAAGAUCUUGCAUGUAUUUCAAGUCCUCUGAUGAAUCAUGUGAUCUACUAGACCCUGAAGAUACAGUGAAGAGCAAAAGUAAGAUGCUGGCAAUUUGAUGUUUGCACUGUCAUGAAGGAGAUGCACAUUUAGCAGAACUUACAAAGAGAAAUAUAAAAUUACUGCUGAGCUAAGUGUGGUGAAGAAAAGUUCAUGGUACCAUGAAAGCAGAUAACCAGGAGAUCUAACAGGUCCACUACCACUAUUCUCAAUAAUACCUAAAAGAAAUAAUAAGAUAUGGCAUUUAUAAAUGAUGAAUAGGAUUUUAUAAAAUUAUAUACAAUCAGAGAACCAAAAAGCACUCUUGGAAAUCAAAAAGUGAUCAUUUAAAUAAGUAUUUCAAUAGAUCACUUGGAAGAGUAAAUUUGUACUACCACUAAAUAUUAAAAAUGGAAAAACAAUGUCAAGAAAGACAGAAAAACUAUACGAAUACUAGGCUAUCAGUCAAGGAUUUCCUGCAACUUAAUAAUACAAAUUCUAAAAGAAUGGAAAGAUAGAAAUUAUUUAAAAUAAAAAAAUUUCUCCAAGUUUACAGACAAAAAUUUAACUUGUAAUGGCCCCAACCAAGUUCUUACUAUAGUAGAUGAAAACAGACCCACACCAAGACACAUCACAAUGAAAUUUUAGAAGGUGGGUGGAAAAGAAGAAAUCCCAAAAACAUCAAAAGGCAAGAAAAACAACAUUAGAAGCUAAAAAAUGUUGAUGGAAUGUCAUGGAAAUUCCUAGGAAAAAUGUUUUCAAUACAGAAUUCCAUACCAAGUCCAGGUUGGAAUAAGUGCUAGGGUAGCCCGAAGACAUUUUCAGAAGCUUAGGCUUUCAGAUUUUACUUUCCAUGUUCCCUUAGGAACACAGAUGAAAUGAGAAACAAAAACGAUGGAGAAAACCAAAAAAGGGGACACAUGGGAUCCAGGCAAUAGGAGAGCCAGCAUAAGAGAGAGCCAGAGGGAUGCCCAGGAUGAGGUGAAGACGAUCUUGGAAAUCAGCCCAGAUGUGCAUGCACCAGUCCACGUGUGGCAGGACCAAGGGAAGUGUCUUCACAAAGAUGAGGCUUUGAUUUGUUGGAGAAACUGUUACCAGAAAAACAGGUCCCGAUCCCGACCCCAAAAGAGUAUUCUUGGAUCUUGCACAGGAAGGAAUUAAAGGUGAGUCACAGAGUGCAGUGAGAAGGAGAUAGUUUAUUGAAAGUUACUCAGAUACAGAGUAGGUGUCCUCAGAAAGCAAAAGGAAGAAUGCACCAUCUUUGUUGUAAACUCUUCUAAUGUAGGGGUUUAAUCUACAUAAAAGCUAAGUUAAAUGUCUAUGUGUGGGUGCUCUGACAGCAUGACAAAAUUUAGGACCUAUUGAUUUAAAGAAAGUUAUCCUUGGCAUUUUAGUUAGUAUAUCAAAGCAUGACUAUAAUAAUCUUAAAAGCAUAUAUUAUAAUGUGACGUCAGGACAUGUGGACAUUCUGUUGUCUGUCAUAGGCGUUUGUUCUUGCAGGCAUUAUUAAGUUGUUUAAUCAGCUGUAAACCUCUUAUGACCAUGGGUUGUGACUGGCAAGGAAUAUGCCUUGCUAGUUGAAAGAUGGAGUUGACUUUAAAAUGGUGUCACCCUGGCUCUCCUAUGCUUCUGUUUCCCCAAAAAAGCCAGGUUACUUGUCCUGUAGAAUGAUCCACAUUCUGAGUUUGGCUAAUGACAUUCUCAUGGUAUUAACUUGUUUCUUUAUAUGUUGUUUUUUCUGUUACCCACAAAAUAAUUCUUCUGAUACACAUUUGUAAUCUUACCAUGCCAGCAUCUGCUACUCUUCAUGUUACCAAAUUUCUGUUCAAGGACCACUAAAGCCACAGUCAGUGGACAUUCUGAGACCUCUAGGGGAGGGUGGAGAUGCUGUCCUUUAAUAUAGUCUGACCCAAGCAACCUCCCCACUUGGCAUGGUGAAUCUAGACAAGCUAAAGAAUUUACUACGCCCCAGGCCUGCACCAGCCCUCUCCUAAGACCUUGGGCACUCUCAUUUCCCUUUUUUUUUUUUCUAAAGGAAGUCAUAGUUUCUCAUAACCUUUGCUAGUGAUCCUGGACCUUGGUUGUUCCCUGAGGCUGUGUUCUCCACACUGCUGCCAUCACUGCUACAGCAGAGGUGCAGAAAGCUCAGGAGAGAGAAGGGAGGAAAAGCUGAAGAUUUUGUGUUAUUCAUGCUUUCCUGACUCCGGCGAAAGUGCUUCCUCCACCUGCAACCAUUUCUGUUUCUAUACUGCUGAGUCUUGUGUUCCCAAGACCAAGGGAAGCCCAUUUUCUUUAAAGCCAGUCACAGUUUCUGUUGGCUGAUGGAAUAUCUGUUGUCCAGCAGUUGUAUUCCUGCUCACAAAUGCAAAACAGUUUGAUGCCACGCACAUUCCAGGGCUUAGACUGGAAAUGCUGUCCCUUGCCCCUUUGUUACCUUCUGACAGGGAUCAGUCCAUAGUGUAGUUGGUGUCACAACAGUCCCGAAGAAGCCUUCCAAUAGAUACCCAAAUGUGAUUCAAAGUGGCACAGGCACACACCACGGUGCCACAUGGUGCCUAUGUAAAGCAGGUAUAUCAGGAAUGCUAAGCAGAGAAGUAGCAGAACACACUGAUCCCCAUGUUCUCAUUGUACAGUUGGGUGCAAUUAAGCUGGCACAAUGGACUCUUCUCAUGGCUACUGUUCCAGUAGUGUGGAUGCCCCCAAAUGCUGCAUAUUUACUAGGACAGCCAGGCAGAGACAGCUGUGUACUAUGAUACAACAGUAGUCCCUCUUAGAGGAAGUGACCUUGUUAGAAGUGGGAGUUUCUGAAGCUCUUCAGCUGUUACUGGCCUGCUCUUCCAUAGCGUUACUUCAGACCUGCUGGCCCAGCUAUCCACUCCGCUAACAGGUCUGUCUCUGCUAACAGGUCUAGCUCUGUCUCCUCAGCACAUGUUCUAGGCUCUGACUGCAAGUGCUGACUUGGGCUCCCAGCCCCACACAGACCCUCUGUUCCAUGAAAGGGCCAUCUAUGCAAAGUGCCCCCCAAAUGCCAAAGGAGCCAAUAAACCAAGGAACAAGACAGACAAAUCUAGUUGUCAGUAAAGAGUGUUUUAUUGGGGAACUUACAGACAGAAGCGUGGUCUUGGAUGGCAGGAAGACAGGUAGGUUUCUGCACUUAUUACCCCCACACCCAGGGCUUAUAUACCACAGGGGAAGAGUAUACAUGCUCUGUGCAAGACAAAGGCUACUACUGUCCAGAACAGGUAAGAAUGCUAAUGUGUCAUAGCCUAGAAUUUGUAUAACAUCAAGGUUGACAUGUUCUUACAAUAGGGAUGGUAAAUAAAGUGGGAAUCAGGAGUCAGUCCUGGGACUGGGGCUAAUCAGAAGUCAGCAUAGAGAAUUAGCAUCCAAGAGGGAGUCACUUUUCUCUCCACAUCCCAGCCCUCUAAUCCAGCUCUUACAAUCUCAUGGACUCACAUUUCCCCCAUAGUCCCUGAGCCUUCAGAGAGGGCUGUGGGUGACAUUUUGAUGGUGUGAGUGACACAUUUUAUCAAUUUGUUUUCUACUUGUUAAGCAGGGGCCACAGCAACAACACAAACAACAGGCGAUGAUAUGUAUGCCAGGUGUAAGACACAGAAUUAAAAAUGCCCUUUACCAUGUUUAUUCAGGAACCAAACCAAGAGGUAUAGAGCAGAACAACAAUAGGAACAGAAGACUAUGGGUGGAAUUAAAAAUGUUUAGUAGGUAUUUGGUGGGGCAGUUCUUCCCCAUUAAACAGAAUUACUGGUAGCUCCAUCUCUGUUGAUUAGGAACAUAGGAUUGUGGGCUGGGAGUACACACCAAACAUGUUGCCUGAGGGGCAAAGGCGCUGGUAUUAUGUGUAAGGUUACAGGGGCAGCAAAGGACCAUGUCAAAUGGCCAGCCAGGGUGCUUCUUAAAAGGGACUGUGUUCCAGUUUAUUGGUAUGUGGAGUGUUUUGGCCCAGACUUCAGCAGGAUCAAUGGAGACCACUUUAGUUGGUAGGGAAUUCCUUGCUGUCUGGAAAGAAAUGCUCUAUCCAACAUAGGGGAAGUUGCUAGUCCAACCCCCAUUCAAGUGUCUCCUCCCUGGCUCAAGAUCUUGAGGAGUUCUAAAUAACCUUUGCCAUUGGCCUUUUAUCUGCUCAGGUCAGAGAUGCAUCUGGUUGGACUUUCUUUACUAUUAUGGUUAAUGGAUCCAUCUCUGUGGUGGUCCUGAGUCAUUGGUGUGGUGCCAGCACCAUAUUUGUCUCAACUAAAUUAAGGUUUCUAAUGGCUUGAGGCAAAAUCUUUGUCUAACUAUGAAAGAUAUUGGAUUUUGAGAGUGCUCAAAACUGUGCCUUCAAAAUACCAUUUUUCCUUUCAAUCAACCCUGUUGCUUGGGGGAGUAUACAGUAAGUGAAAUACCCAGUCUAUGUCCCUUUCAUGCAUCCAGUCUUGGACACCGUGUCUGGUGAAAUGCAUGCCUCGAUUGCUAUCAAUAUGUGGAGGGUAUCCUUACAUGACACUGAGUUGCUCCAAGCCCCUGAUGGUGGCUGUUUGGUUUGCUCUUACAAGGGAAAGCUUGCAACAAUCCCAUGGCAGUGUAUACACAUGUUAGUGCAUACUUUCGUCUCAAGAUUACUGGCAAGGGUCUGAUGUAGUCUAUCUACCAGUCUGUCACAGGGGUGGCUGUCUUAUGUAUAUGUCCAGGUGUAUGUGGGAUGUGGCAGAGGUACAGACGGGAACAAAUUAAGCAGUUUGCUACCGCCACCACUAAAUCUGCAUAGCAGAGAGCCAAUCCUGCUCCCUUUGCUAUUUGGCAGCCCAUUCAUGCACUGAAAUCCCCACUGUGAUAUGUACCUAAUCAACUAGCUCAGUAUUCUAAUUUUUGCUAGGAUGUCUGCCUCCAUGUUUCUGGGAGGUGAAUCUGACCAGUGUGCUGAAGCAAUUAGGUCCACAGUGGGUUCCUGUAGACUUUUCCAAAUGUCUUUCCACAUAUCAGCUCCCCAUAAGGAUUUUUAAAUUAUAUACCAAUCAUCUCAGGCCCUUUGGGCAAGCCAAAUUGUAAGACCCUUAAGUACUGCCAGACUGUCUGUACAGAGAACUAUAGGUGGUGGCUCACGGGUACAAACCAACCAUGUAGCUUGGAGUUCUGCCCAUUGACUGCUCUGUUGCAUUCCCAUCUCAAACCAGAUACUGUCUGUGGUUGUGCAGCUACUACUGUCCAUACACAGGGUUACCUUGGCUCAAUGCAUCUAAGUACCAAGCAUUAUCAGGAAUGAGGGCCAUGCCUUCAUGUACCAUUGGAGACAUCUCCUGUGAGGGCUCCACAAUAGGGGCAGCACUGGACUCAUAAUGUACUGGCCCUAAGAUAGCAUGCAGUUCAUCUCUUAAGGGAUGCAUGGAGAAGGCACUAUGUUGUUGCAUGUAUGCAUGGCACUUUUGUAAAGUGGAAACUUGGGCAAUAGCUGAUACAGGCCUGGCAAACACUCCUACCCAGUCCUUGAUAGGAAACCUGUUCUCCCUGGUACCAGGAAAGCAGCAGUUAUGGAUUCAACUUGUGGCAAGACCUUCUAUAUCCCCAGGACCUGUUAUUCAACUGGGAAAUAGCAGGUUUCAGUACCCUUCCAUUAAUUGUGACUAAAAUUCUAAAGGAACUGCUUCCCUAUGCUGGACUUUAUAUUUUCAUCAUCCAAAAUUAUAGUUUAGUUUUACCUUUAAAAAUAUGUUUUUUGUUCUCAUUUGUUCCAUAGGUUUCUCCUUGAAAUUUAUAUUGUAUGGUAAGGUUUCCUAUUGUUUGCAUUUUGUGGAUUGCACGCCAAGGUGUGGUUUAAUGUAUUUCUAUUACCUGUAUUUUCUGUAAAUUGGUAGUUUGGUAUAGAGGUUUGUGUACAUUCAGGGUUUUUUUUUUUCUGUAAGUAUUGAUGGUUCUGUAAAAGGAAAAUAAAAUCUUGGGGCCCCAAAAUUACUAAGCUAAAGGGAAAAGUCAAGCUGGGAACUGCUUAGGGUAAACCUGCCUCCCAUCUGUUCAGAGUCGCCCCUCUGCUCACUGAGAUAAACACAUGUCUGAUUCCCUCAUUUGGAAAGGCUAAUCGGAAACUCAAAAGAAUGCAACCAUUUGUCUCUCAUCUAUCUGUGACCUGGAAGCCCCCUCCUUGCUUCGAGUUGUCCCGCCUUUCCAGACGGAAUCAAUCUUUAGCUUACAUAUGUUGAUCACUGUCUCAUGUCCCCUUAAAAUGUAUAAAACCAAGUUGUGCUCUGACCACCAAAGUUGUGCUGAGAAGUGACACCAAAGAACAUGGUGGCAUAAGAACUCCAAGGACCCCUCCCCUCCACAGCGGCAAUGUGCUUGUUGAAACACCAGUAUAAAAAAACUCGAUGAGAGCUGUGAUUGGAUUUAGUGUUGAUAUAUUUUUUGUAAAUUGUGGUAAAACAUGCAUACUAUAUAAUUUACCUUCUAACCAUUUUUUCAGUGUACAAUUUGGUGGCAGUAAGCACAUUUACAAUGUUGUGUAACCACCGCCAAUAUCCAUUUCCAGAACAUUUUCAUCAUCCCAAACAGAAACUGUACCCAUUAAACCAUAACUGCCCAUUCUCCCUACCCCCAGCCCCUGGUAAUCUCUAUUCUAUUUUCUGUUUCUAUGAAUUUGCUUAUUCUAGCUACUUUAUAUAAGUAAAAUAUCAUAUUUGUUUUUAUUUCUGGCUUAUUUCACUUAUAGUGUUUUCAAGGCUCAUCCAAUUAGAAUUUCAUUCACUUUUAAGGCUGAAUAAUAUUCCAUGCUUAUGUGCACCGUGGGUUGUUUAUCCAGUCAUCCUCUGAUGGACACUCGGUUGCUUCCACCUUUUGGAUAUUGGGUAUAGUGCUGCUAUGGGCCUGAGUGUACACAUAUCUGGGUGAGUUCCUGCUUUCAGUGCUUUUGGGUAUGCCCAAAAGUGGAAUUGUUGGCUCAUAUAGUAAUUCUAUUUUUACUUUCUUGAGGAAUCACUAUUCUGUUUUCCAUGGUGGCUGCACCACUGUAUACUCUCACCAGCAGUGUACAAGUGUUCCAGUUUCUCCAUAUCUUCACCAACACUUGGCCUAGUGAAGUUUACCAUAUUUUUAUGUCCUUAUUGGCAUUCCUUUUUUUUUUUUUUUUGUGAAACAGAGUCUUGCUCUGUUGCCAGGCUGGAGUGCAGUGGCACAAUCUCGGCUCGCUGUAACCUCCACUUCCCAGGUUCAAGUGAUUCUCCUACCUCAGCCUCCUGAGUAGCUGGGACUACAGGUACCUGCCACCAUGCCCAACUAAUAUUUGUAUUUUUUUGGUACAGACGGGGUUUCACCAUGUUGGCCGGGAUGGUCUUGAUCUCUUGACCUCGUGAUCCGCCCACCUCGGCCUCCCAAAGUACUGGGAUUACAGGCAUGAGCCACCAUGCCUGACCAGCAUUCCUUAUUUUUAUGUCCUUAUUGUAUAUCUUCUUUGGAGAAUUGUCUAUUCAUGUCUUUUACUUAUUUUUGAAUGAGAUUGUUUUGCUAUUGUUGAAUUGUAGUUCUUUACAUAUUCUGGAUAUUAAUUCUUUAUCAGAUAUGUGAUUGGCAAAUAUUUCCUCCUGGUCUGUGCAUUUUCUUUUGAUUCUCUUAAUAGUGUCCUUUGAUGCAAAAAAGUUUUUAAAUUUUGAUGCAUUCUAAUUUGUCAUUUUUCUUAUAUUACUUGUACUAUUGGUCACCAGCCAAGAAACCACUACCAAUUCUAAUGUCCAUAAGAUUUUCCUCAGUAUUUUCUUGAGGGUUUUACAGGUUCAAUUCUUAAGAUUAGUUCUUUGAGUCAUUCUGACUUAAUUUUUGAAAAGGGUGUAAUGGAAGGACAUGAAUUUUUUCCAGCAUCAUUCUUUUGCAUGUUGAUAUCCAGGUUUCCAGCACCAUUUGUUGAUGCACCAUCUGUUGCAGUGGGGCUGACACAUUUGUAAGAUGCAGUGAGCAUUAAUACAUGGGAGCACCAUGCAUUUAUUUACCUGUCUUUACUUCACAGUUGUUUUGAGAAGGCUUUCACUGACAGACUCAACAGAAAUGAAUAUAUAUGACUUCUUAUAAAAUCAUAUUCAAGUAAAAUUAUAAAUUUUAAAAUGUUAAGACUGGAGCAAGACUGGAACAUCACUAGACAAGCUGAAACAUAGGCUGAAAUGAAGGGUUAUGUUUACCUUGCUACAAAUUCUGUUGGCCCACAAUCUCUUAUGCUUAUUGCUUAAGAGAGCCACAGAGUGGGGUGAUAGCUCACAUAACCAGUCCCUGGUUUUCUGCUUCAGAAAGAAGUUUAAAUAUUCUGCUUAGACAGAGUAAGGAAAUUAACUGAAAGAUGUCUAAUGUGAAGUUGGCAUCUACAAAGUGAAGGAGUGAGUAGUAAGUGUAAACAUCAGGAAUCCCAGGAGAUUCUAUCUUUUUGCACGGAAAUGGCCUCACUAUGCACUGCUGAAGGGAGAAGGUCCCUUCAGGGGACCUUCAUGAUGAAGAAGAACACAAUAUGAUAUAGGAAUUUUCUGCUGCAGCCCUAAACUGAAUUGUCCUUCUCUCUAACUACAGGUCUCACAAAGUUUUAUAGCUUCAAUGAUUUCACCUGGGCCAAGAUUUUGGUUUUUUUUGAUGUUAUUUGUUUGAACUGCUGCCUGGGGCUUAGAAAAGUGACUUGGAUAUUUUGUCAAAAUGGAUUUUCUUUGAUGGAAUGUGAAAUCCGUAAACACUCUGCUUUCCUGCUGUAUCCCCAGAGCAGGUUGAGUACCUUGCACUUCUUCUCAGCACUUCGCUAGAAGUGGUAGAAGAUUUGGAGUUAGGGCCUCCCUCAAUCCCUACCCUUUCUUUAAUUCAGAGGAUCACAAACUGUUGGGAGAAGAGUGGUAUCUUGGGCCUCUAGCUGAUCUGAUGAAUAUUAAUAUCCAAUGUCCUGUAGUGAAGUCAUGUGUGCGUGUAACAUCACUUCUUCACGCAGUGUCAUAGGAAAGUGGGUUCCUGGACCCCAGGUUAAGAGCCUAAGCACUAAAGGCACAGAGCUAGAGCUCUAGGAGGGGAGGGAUGGCUGGGGUGGAACCUCGUCUUGUCAUUUAGUCCUGGGGCCUUUUCACUCCUUACAUGGUGGGUGGUGGGCGUCUGGCAGGUGCCGAUGUUGAUGGAGUCAAGGGAGGGAACUAGCCGGGACAGGGAAAAACAGGGUUGGAGAGAUAAUUAAGGUGGACGUUAUUUUUUCUGAGCGUAAGUCGUGGCUGGAAAUCUGGAGAGCCUGAAAGAGUAUCCCCCUACCCAAACCUGUUUUUUCCUUUUCCCUCAAGCCUCAUUUGGCCACAGGCCCAGUGUCAACACCAGGGGGCGCCACAGACCAUGAAGGCACCGUGCAGCUGGGAUUGUUUGUGGUCGGCUACUGGGUCCCUGACUUAACCAGGGGAGCCAAGACCCUGUAGCCAAGUGGCCUGGAUUCAACCUGCAGCUCAGGUCUUACUGACACUUCUCCCCCUGGUGCCUCAGUUUCUUAAUCUGUGAAAUGGUGAGGACAUUACAGCAUUUACCUCUGGGGCGGGUUUCUCAACAGCAGCACUAUUAACAAUUUGGGACAGAGAAUCUUGUGGAGUGGUCUGUCCUGUGCAUUGUGGGAGGUUUGCCAGCAACACCCCACUCACCCCCUCCCACCAAUCCCCAUGUGACAACCGAAAAUGUCCCAGGAUUUUUAGGUCUCCCUUGGGUCUAGAAGCUGCACUUAGGCAUUUUCCCACCUGACACUUGAGUUCAUCUCUGCUUUGGUCCACAUAAGGCCACUUUAAAAAAAUGUUGUUUCUUUAAAGAUUCUAACCAUCUUUUAAACAAAUCCAUUUUCUUCCUCUAUUUCUGCAUUCAGUUAAUCCUUCCAAACCCUUUGUUUAGUAUAUCUUGAAAUGUAUCAAUUCCUGUUCUAGUAAUUAACAUAUGUGACUUGCAUGAUAUCUGCUAUGACCCUUAGUAGAGCUCUGAUUCCUUUAGCACAGGGAAUGUGUUCUCGAUUCUGCUCUGGAUGAUGUAAAUCAAUUUAUUUUACUUUACUUGUCUGGGAUGUUGCUCCUCAUCUGUAAGAUGUAAAUGUGGAUAUGGCUUGGAUUACUAAGUGGUUUUAUUUCUUAAUUCACCUGACAUUUGUUGUGUGCCUGCUGCAAGUCAAAUACAUGGCAUGGUAUUGUUUCCUUGUUCACACCACAGCAAAUGAGAAAAUGAGACAUUAUAGCCAGGUGUGGCGGCACAGGCUUGUGGUCCUAGCUACUCGGAAGGCUGAGGCAGGAGAAUUGCUCCAGCCCAGGAGUUUGAGGUUACAGUAAGGUAUGAUAUCACCAUUGCAUUUCAACCUGGGCAACAGACCCUGUCUCUGAAAAAAGGGAAAAAGACCUUGUGAGCUGUCUACGUGUACUCUAUGUCUCAGGAGACUCAUAUCCUGUAAUUUUUCUAAAUGGCGUCUCCAUGUGGUCUUUCAUGAAUGUUUGUCUGGUAUUCUCUAUCCUUUUACUUUCAACUUUUCUUUACCUUCUACUGAAAUUAUGUCUUUUGUAAACAGCCCAUGAUUAUUUAUUUAGUUAUUUAUUUUUACCCCCCUGCACUAUUUGUCUUGUAAUUGGAGUGUCUGAGUCCAUUAUGUUUAAUGUAAUUAUUGACCUCAUUGGGUUUAAGUCUGUCCAUUGUCAUUUGCUGCCUUCUAAUAUUAUCUCUUUCUUGCUCAACUAUUUUUCUUAUGUUACCUUCUUUAGAUGAAUAAAAACCUUUGCAUUAUUGUAGUCUUCUAAGUGUCCUAAUUACACAUUCUCUUAUUAUUUCUUUAAUUAUCUGAGAAAGCAUAAUGAUCUGUGACUUAUUAUAACCAAUAGCAGACCACAACUUCCCUGACUUUCACCUACCUGUGCCCACAGCCCAGGGGAGAAUCAGUGCUCUGGCUCUGAGACACAGGGGUGGUGGGAGUAGGAGAGUGAUUGGAUGAUGAAUCUGUAGCUGCAGAGGCAUCUGGGCCCCUCACCUGCAUUCCUCAUAGAUGUCUCCUCCAUUGAAUGCCUGCGAUGCCCUCUCCUCUGUGUACUCCUGCCAGAGUCUCCCUAUCUCCACUGACAGCAGCUCCACCCUUCUGCUCACUCAGUCCAAUACUGUGGGUGUCCUUGAUUCUUCUUCUCACAUCCAUUAGCAAGUGCUGUGAGUCCAUCUUCAAAUUCAUCCAGAAUCCCUUCACUUCUCACUAUUUCCCCUGCUCACACCCUAGUCAAGGUAAGCAACGUGUCCAUCCUAGAAUACUGUACUCCUUUCCCACCAUUUUCCCCACUGCAUCACUGGUUCCCCACCUCUCAAUUCUGUUCUCAGCACAGCAGCCAGAAAGAAGCUUUCAAAGGAUGAGCCCUACCAUGUCCCACUUUUCAAAACUGUCCUCCCCAUGUCAUUCAGAGCAAAGGUCAACACCCUUCCCACACCCUUCAGGGCUACCUGCUCUA
rnacentral:lncRNA from 10 species